AACAAACGCUGGCGGCGUGCCUAAUACAUGCAAGUCGAACGGGGAAAGCUUUCGGGUGAGUACUAGUGGCGCACGGGUGAGUAACGCGUGGAUAAUCUGCCUUAGAGUGGGGGAUAACUAGUCGAAAGAUUAGUUAAUACCGCAUAAGACCACAAGAACUGCGGUUCAAGGGGUCAAAGGUUUUUCGCUCUAAGAUGAGUCCGCGUAAGAUUAGCUAGUUGGUAGGGUAACGGCCUACCAAGGCGACGAUCUUUAACUGGUCUGAGAGGAUGAUCAGUCACACUGGAACUGGGACACGGUCCAGACUCCUACGGGAGGCAGCAGUAGGGAAUAUUGCACAAUGGAGGAAACUCUGAUGCAGCGACGCCGCGUGAGUGAUGAAGGCCUUCGGGUCGUAAAGCUCUGUCGCAGGGGAAUAACACAAUGAAGGUACCCUGUAAGAAAGGAUCGGCUAACUUCGUGCCAGCCGCCGCGGUAAAAC
rnacentral:rRNA from 1 species